UGCAUCGGCCGGUAAUCAAAUCGCCUGCGUGGCAGGCGAGCAUUCUACCACUGAACCACCGAUGC